UACGGGGGGGGCAAGCGUUGUUCGGAAUUACUGGGCGUAAAGGGCCAGUAGGCGGCCAACUAAGUCCGACGUGAAAUCCCAAGGCUUAACCUUGGAACUGCGUCGGAUACUGGAUGGCUUGAAUUCGGGAGAGGGAUGCAGAAUUCCAGGUGUAGCGGUGAAAUGCGCAGAUAUCAGGAAGAACACCGAUGGCGAAGGCAGCUCUCUGGGACGGUACUGACGCUGAGACGCGAAAGCGUGGGGAGCGAACAGG
rnacentral:rRNA from 1 species